AUCUCUUUCUGGAGAUCGUUCCUCUGGGAGUCUUUUUCUGUGAGCUUGAGAUGCAGGUUACAGACUAAGAAGAUCAAAACCCCAUCAUGUGGCUGGAGUGCUGUACUAACACAAAGACAUGCUCCAAAGGGUUCUGUGUCUUGAAAAGCAAAACAGCGUGAGGAGAUCAGCAGCACAGUGUGGAGCACAGAUCUGUAGGAGCAGAAGACUGAAAGGAUGAAGUGGUUCAAAUAAACUACUAUCUAUCAUUAAAAUGCAUAUGUAGGCACUCUGGAAGUCCAUCCUAGGUGAAUGACCCGGGAAGAGGUCAACCUGAACAGUGUAUGAAGAAGAAAAAUGGAACAACCCACCCUCCUUGCCUGCAGUUUUCACAGCAACCCAUUUUUAAUCCUGGG